AGAAAGGACCAAGGUCGGUAGAAGACAGAGAAAAGGGAACCGUCUAUGUCACACUGCUACAAAUUCCGCACGAAGAACGAAGUUUUUUCUCACUGAAAGCUGCAGAAGUCUGUUAGGGAGCACACUUGACAAUAAAGAAGGGAGGGGAUUGUUCCAGCUGUUCAAAGGUCUGAACACGUAAAUCUGUCUGAAAUACGACAGGGCAGUAACUCGUAACUACGGCUUAGGCGGUAACUGGAAGUAACGCCCAUCAAAGGCAUCAGAUUUGUGUGCGCCAGCACCCGCACCCCUGUCAAGAUUGUCUCGCUUGUCGAAGUUUGUCUUCUACUUAAUUUGCAGGGUUGACGUUUGUUAUGAAAUGUAGUAUUUGAAUUGGAUUGAAAUAUCUUGUAUCAAAACGUGAAUCGGCUAAAGAACACCACGUAACAAACCUUUUAUUCGUAGAAUCUUUGAUCUGAAAAUAUGAACCAAGUCCAAGCGUCAACCCUGUAUGUUGCUGGUUUUAUACUAUAUAUAUG